rnacentral:rRNA from 1 species
CAAUAGCGUAUAUUUAAGUUGCUGCAGUUAAAAAGCUCGUAGUUGGAUUUCGGGUGGGAAUGGCCGGUCCGCCGUUUCGGUGUGCACUUGCUACGCCCACCUUGCUGCCGGGGACGUGCUCUUGAGUUCACGCUCGGGACACGGAGUCGGCGAGGUUACUUUGAGUAAAUUAGAGUGUUCAAAGCAGGCCUACGCUCUGAAUACAUUAGCAUGGAAUAACACGAUAGGACUCUGGCCUAUCUUGUUGGUCUGUAUGACCGGAGUAAUGAUUAAGAGGGACAGUCGGGGGCAUUCGUAUUUCAUUGUCAGAGGUGAAAUUCUUGGAUUUAUGAAAGACGAACUACUGCGAAAGCAUUUGCCAAGGAUGUUUUCAUUAA